ensembl:lncRNA
UUGUUCUCUAGUUUACUACCAUGCAGUAGGUGGCGGCAUGCACAUUCAAAUUGUGUCAACGCCUUUAUACCAUAGAAUAAGAGAUGUAGAACGCGGAAGUUACGUUCCUGAUAGUUUUCCUCUCGUUCCCUGUCAACAAUUGACGAUAAUUAAUCUUAGCUACUCUACAACUUUCAAAGGUGCCAGGAGAUAAUUAGCACAGGUGGUCCCUCUGCCUUCUGCAAACACGUGCAGUAACAUGGAGAUAUUGCUGUGUGGGAACCCUAAGCCUAAAAAGAUCCACCUACCACAUGGGCCUACUAUGGCUGAACCCAAGUCCAUGGAGUCCCCGGGUUCUGGCUGUGGUGUUCCAUCACAGAGAAGCUCACAGCAGGGUCCAGAGAUGGUCUCAGUGAAGCUGGAGGACUGCAGUCAACCACUGGAAGUCAAUGAGAUUGUGAUCGGGGAAGAGAGAGAACUUAAAGUAGAACUUAAAGAAGGAGAAGAAAGAGAGAGGAGUGAAAGAGGAAGCUGAGAUACAAGUCAAAGAAGAAGAGGAGAACAGAGAAGUGUCUGCUCCAGAUCUAGACGAAGAGGAGCAAGAAGUAGAUAGUAUCACUGACCCAGAGAUGAACGUACUUUGGUGCAAAAAGUGCAAAUCAAUCCCUGAACAACAGCAAAGGACUACUGCAAUUACAAGCAGGACUACUCCAUCCAGAUGCAGGAGAGAUCUCCAACCCAGGUUCAGACAGUGAGCCCAGUUCCACAGCAUCAGGAAACAAUAAACACAGACAGAGGAACUCAAGACAGAAACAUCACCACUGCAUGGACUGCUUCACUAGUUUCUAUGAGCCAAAGGAGUUGAAGACACACUUGUAGGCCCCAACCCUGCUCAGACUGCAGAGACAGUUUUAUUUGUCCAAUUGACCUUAAAUCACCCCAACAGACUCUCAAAAGAAAGAAAACUUACCCCUGUGAUCAAUGGGGGAAUAGCAAACUAAAGAUGUACCAAGUAACUCAAAGGGA